AAGAUUUUAUUUAUUUGUGAGACAGCGAGAGAGCGCGAGCAGGGGGAGGGGCAGGGGGAGAAGCAGGCUCCCCGCUGAGCAGGGAACCCACGUGGGGCUGAUCCCAGGACCCCGGGAUGGUGACCCCAGCUGAAGGCCGACGCUCCACCGGCAGAGCCCCCCAGGCGUCCUUAACAUGAUUCAACUUCCGAGAGAAUUCAUUCGUGGGCUUUGCGUCCAGUGAGGCACGGAGAAGGAGAAGCAAAACAAGACUGCGUGCGCGCAGCGCCCAGCGUGGCUCGUGGACCGGACGGGGGCGGGGCCGUGGAUCUUACGGAGAUUUGUAUUUUCCCGUAGUUUCCUUCCAUUGCUUCUCUUCUUUCUUCUUUACUAGCCGUUUCCUCGCAGGUUUCUCCAAGCAGGGGCUUCCCGGACAGCUCCGGCGACGGCCCGCGAGUCUCUGCCCUGGAACCUUCCGAUCCACCCCGCUGUUACCCAGCAAAACGGGACCGGUUUUCGCUUCCUUCUUAUUCUAUUUUUUUGGUCUUCUCGGGGGAAGCAAGAGUGUGGGCUGCGAAACCCCCACUUGGCAAAGAUUUCUCUUUGUGUCGGGAAAGAAUCAGUUUUGAAGAAACGCUGCCGGGUGUUCGCUCAUAGAACACUCAGAAAUCCAGCACUGACGGCACUUUUCACAGCAUUUAUGGACAAGCUGUUUUUACUGCGAUCCGGAAGACUAACGAGACUGUGCACUCCUCCUCCGGGACAUCCUCCGCGGCCCCUGGGGAUGUGUGUGCGUCGAGUGGACAGCAAGGACACCCAUGUGGUCGCCCAGCACCGGUCCAGGGCUCGCGCCGUUGGGCGGCCGUCUCGCAGCGUCACACUACCGUCUGUCUUUCUUACAGUGUCCUCCAGCUGACGGACCAGCCCCCGCUCUAGGCCGCCGUUCCAAGGGUGAGUGGCCUUAUUCCUACCCUAGAGACGCUGUCUUCUUUUCUCUCUUUCUUUUUUUAGGGUUUAGGAUUACUAGCCAUUCCUUUCCAGCAGGCCCGGCAGUGGCACCAAGGGGCGUCUGGUCCCCACGGCCCUCCCUGCAGGGUUCCCGAGGUCGGCUCUCCGUCUGGAAAAGGGCGACUUGCCCUGCGCGUGGGGCCUGGAGGGGCUCGGGCACAUCACAGUCAAGAUCGAGAUGGGCGCCCGCUGGGCUGCCUUUAGAUGAGGACUAGUUUCUCCCCUUUUCCAGGUCACAGAGCGGAGACUCUGAAGCUUCCCGAGGCCCCAGGGCCAGUCUGCGCUGGGCUGAGGUGGGAACGGAGCCCGGCUGCGUGCAGGCCAGGGUUGAGUGGGGAGCCGUCUGCAAGGGACUAGCUCACACAGCUGCGGGUCCGUCUCUAACUGCCCGGCCACAUCCCCGCGGGCGUCUGGGGGAAGGCGCGCCGGGACGUGCCGGGAGGAGGCCAAGGAAGCCGUGAUUGGCCGGAGCCGCAGCCGGGACAAAGGGAACGAGGCCAAGAGAGCCGGGGAGGCAGAGCAGGAAGCUGGGGACGGUGAGGAAGACGCUGGACUCCGGGACCUGCCGGGGCCAUCCUGGGGAAGUGCCACGCAGCAGGGUCUGGCGGUGUGGAGGGAGAUGUCCCCUUCCCGGCCCCACCGCCAGAAGCAGCCCUUACACAGGAUGCUCCGCGUCCCCUAUGAAGGCCCCCAGCAGGCUUUGACAAGUGGCCCUGAGGUGGGCAGGGGCAGCAGGAGACGGCAGGAGACCCCCAACCCGGACCGUCUGGAUUCCCAGAGCCUACUUUCCGGAGCACAUACCCCCUGCUCUCUGGGUUCCAGGACGGAACACAGGGGCUGUGCCAACCCUCCGCUCACUCUCCAUAGGCCUGUCUCUCCCCUGCCUGUCGCACUGUGAUUCUGUUCCCCUUCUGUCCCUCCCUGCCCUGCUAACCUCGCUUUGCUGGGCUCCCUUCCCCGGGGGGGGGCAGUACGCUGGGCAGCCGGGGCUGGCGUCCCCGCCCUGGUGUGCAACACACCCAGCGGGGGCCUUGGUAGGCGGGGCCACGGGGCCUUGGGCUGGGCUUGGGACUCAGGACGUCCUCCGAGCCCCUGGGCGUGGCAGGCGCCUCCUCUGGGGACAGCCCGGCUGACCACCAGGACCAGCUGCCCUCAGCCUCGGACAAGGCAGCCCAGCCCCGGAGGAAGAGUGGAGCCUCGUUAAACCACUGAUUCAUGGCAUCCACGUCCACGCCCGCCCCACACUUCCCGUUUCCUGGUGUGUGAGCGAAUACAUUUCCUUUUUUCUUUUAAA